rnacentral:misc_RNA from 4 species
AACGCACCUUGCGCUCCUCGGCAUUCCGAGGAGCAUGCCUGUUUGAGUGUCGUGAAGUCUCAUCGGAUAAGGGGGUCCCUUGCGAAGGGGGCCUCUUUUCGGUCUUGGACGGUCUUGCCUUCACUUUGUCUGUGAAGGCUCGUCUUCAAAUUCAUCGGCGAGGGUUUCCAAGUCCCCCCCACGGAGACGCGUGAUAAGUCUUGCGUCGUCUGGGGGUAAGGAGCCCGGCCCCCAUCACUCUUUUUUAACGCCCUGACCUCAAAUCAGGCAGGACUACCCGCUGAACUUAA